AAACUUCCCUUUCCUUCGGGACUACUUACAAGGUGCUGCAUGGUUGUCGUCAGCUCGUGCCGUGAGGUGUCGGGUUAAGUCCCAUAACGAGCGCAACCCCUAUCGUUAGUUGCCAGCAAGUAAAGUUGGGGACUCUAGCGAGACUGCCGGUGUAAACCGUGAGGAAGGUGGGGAUGACGUCAAAUCAGCACGGCCCUUAUAUCCAGGGCUACACACGUGUUACAAUGGUCGGUACAAAGAGCAGCCACUUGGUGACAAGGCGCUAAUCUCAAAAGCCGAUCUCAGUUCGGAUCGAAGUCUGCAACUCGACUUCGUGAAGUUGGAUUCGCUAGUAAUCGCGCAUCAGCCAUGGCGCGGUGAAUACGUUCCCGGGCCUU
rnacentral:rRNA from 1 species